GAAGGAAAAGGAGCUGACUGGG
rnacentral:miRNA from 1 species